AGUAAAAGCAGAAAGUAAAUUACAAUUUAUCCAAACCUUUGAAACGUUACAAUCAACUCCAUAAGCUCAUAAGCUAUAAAAGCUUAAAAAUGGGCAAAAAGUGGGCAAAAACAUACAAAUGUAAGGCAUUAAAGACCAAGCAACAAAACAAAAGAAGAAAACAAAAAACCCCUCCAGUUGCGGUUAACAGCGUCUAUAAAUAAUCUUAAAAACAGUUUAAUUAGAACUGAACAAAUAAAUCAAACGCUAACCGCAACAAUUACGCCAGCCCAGGCUUUUCUUGUUCUUGACACGAAAAUCAACGUAAAUCUCUAUACUGCCCAAAACACAUCUGCCAGUGAAAUAUUUGCAGUCGGAAUUGCUGUGUGUUGUGUGCUGUGUGAUUAACAGACAGUUCUAGUCCGAGUUCUAUUCAUAUUCACAACUCACAACUCACUGUGAGGCGAUGUGAGUAGAGUAUUCAAUGUUUCAGAUGCGAAUAUGACCGAUACUUGACCACUGAAUGACCACGCAGCCAGCUGCAGAGCCCUGAGUUGCAUGCAAACGAGUCUGCCCCUGAAUCCACAAUCUGCAAUCCGCAAUUCGCAAGGGUAUAUCAAUCGGGAUAUAGAGGUGUGUGUGGAGAGGCGGACUCCCUCAGCCUACCUCAGCCUACCUCAAAACUGACCCACAUCGCUGCAAUCCCCCAUUAAUCAGCGAGAUAACGCAGUGCCGCAGUGCAUAUUGGAAAUCGUAUUCAGCGAUAAGACCAUGACUCUCUCUCUCAGUCCCACUGAUCAUGACUGUAGAACAAUCACAGCACCAAGUGUGGAACACACACACACCACACACUGUACACCACUUUGUACACAAUGCCAGCCAGCGAAAGUGAUUCACGAGGGUUCCGUUUGGAUGCCACUGAGUUCCACUGAAUGCCACUGGGUGCAGUGCAUCUCGUGCUGUGUGCAGCUAUUGAAAUUAUUAUUAAAUUGCAUUAUAUUAUAUUAUAUAUUGUAUAAGGCGCACAUGGCUCACACAUGACCGGCCCCGACACAUCAGUUAUCUUCAAUGAGCGGCCUCUGGAAGUGACGAGAGUGGCCAUCACUGGGAUGGUGGGAUGUGGUUUUCCCAUGGGGUUGUUUCAGCAAAAAUCGGGAAAAUCAGGAAAACACACACAUCUUCUCCUGGCUUUUCUGUACCCUUUCGUAUUCGUGUUCGGGUUACCCUAAGGGGAAACAGUAGCACUUCGAUCGGAUUUCCUGUCUGGUCCAUCGAAAGCAAAUAAAGUGCUUGGAAGUGUUUAGAAGUAUGCGAACUUGAUCGAUUUCUGGGUACCCUCGGGAAUGUCCAUAGUUGGGUGUCCCAUUGCGUAAACGCAUUGAUUCCCAAUCCCCUUUUUUGAGUUACAUGAGUUACUUGUUUGGAUCUACUUGCGAAUGUGCCAAAGUGCAAUAUUCUAGUGAUUUAUUCCGCGGCCGUCCUCAUAAAUGAGCACAAUUAAGUUGCGAUAAUGGCGCAGUUAAUAUCUAUGGUCACUGCUGAGCUGAUAAUUAACCACAUAUAAAGUGCAGUAUGGCCAUAAAAAAAAUAUAAUGCAAAAAUCAAAUUAACCGAUUGCGAUCUAUUUGCUUUUUUUCGAUCUUUGUUUUUCAUUUUCUGUUUUUUGCUUUUUGUUUCUGCCCGCAACUUGUUAAUUUCCAAUGGUCCGAUCAUCUGACGACUGAUAUAUCUAUAAUAUAGUAUAUGUAUAGUAUAGCAUAUCUACAUAUAUGAAUGAUAAUGACGCUGAUCACGUUUGCAACGUUAUUCGGACAUUAGGCAAAUGCUGACGUCAGCAGAACAGCGGAUAUGAGAUAUCGAAUUUCAUGAGCUACCCGAAAAUAAAUAGUAGAAGAUAAUAAUAAAAAGUACAGGGAAAUGGAGUUUCCGAUCUUGCUGGAAAACAUAUCCGGAAAAUGGCAAUUGAGUGGUAGGAACAAGCAAACCAAUUUUCCUACGCCUCAAAGUGCAUAUAUGCAAUUUGAAUAUGAUUUCUUAAUUCGAUUGCUGCUAUUGCAUGUCACAUGCAAACUGAAAACGAGCAAUAACAAUGGCAAAUGGCAAAUGGAAAAUUGCAUGUGAAAACGGAAGUUAAAGUGGUUUUUAGUCAAAUCGAGCCAAAAGCGAUCAGCCGCCCAGCCGCCCAUUUAUCAUAAUAAUGCCCUCCCACCGCCCCCUUUUAAUCAUUGACACCUCUGAUCACGCCCCCAAUCACAGCACACAGCACACUGAAGCACAUUGAAGUAGCCUCUGCUACUUUGCUUUUUGUCCUUCAAUUCGGCAAAUGAAUUUGACCUUUAAGCCUAAAUGAUCAUACUAAUGGUCAUAAUUAGGAUGAUGGGCUGAUGGGAUGAUUAUGACAGUGAUGGGACGGAAACCGAAGAGUAUCGUCAUCAUUUGAACUGAAACGAUUUAGCUAAUGUAUGUAAGCGAUGUAGCAUGUAGUAUGUAAAAAGCACAAACUACGACUUUAUUAAAGCUAUGAAAAUAAAUCUAUGGCAAUUAAACAAUAAUCAUCAAAGGUUUAAUCCCUCGGAGGAAUACGCCAUGAAAAGAUAUUCACUUUAAGGGGUUUUCUAUUCGGAAUACAAGCAUUUUGCAAUGCAAACAACCAAUAAAUGUAUCUCUAAGAAAGCUAUCGAUUUGAAAUCAAAGAUAAGAGCAUGAUUUUCCUAAAAUUAUAUAGCACCGACUAAAUACUUCCUCUGCACAUCGAUUAUAAUUCGAAUUGGUGCAAUCGAUUAUUUCGAUUAAUUUGCACACACGUUCAUUUCUGUAAUCGACAGUUACUUACAUUUGGGUUAAGCCAAUUUGAUUGACAAUUUAAGUUGGAUUUUGUUUCAUGUUGUUAUUCGGACCUGCCUUUCACUUUUUAUUUGCUUUUUUGCUGCUAAGCCCACGAGAUUUUUGGGAAAGUUUGGGAUUAAAUCAAAUAUCACUAGAGUGCGUAAUGGCAUAUCCAUUAACAAAACAAAACAACGUGUUCUAGUCUUGUCUUCUAGCCGCAGGAAUAUUCCGUUGAACUUUAAAAUGAACAACGUAGCUCUUUGUUGAAGCCUCAUAAUUACUUAAGUAAAGUAAGCACGAACAUAAUAGUUUUUCACUAAACGAUUUGAAAAUAUGAAGCCAGUGCGAAAAUAUCGCAUAAAUUGAAAUCAAACCGGGCGGCACAAAAAAUAAAUAAACGCAACGCAACACAAAUUGAAAUCGCAAACGUGGAAUGCGUGAGAUCGAAUUUGAGGCUUGUUUUUCUUGUGAAUGUGCGACUUUUCGUCUUAUUUUUUAUUAAUUUUUAUUUUUUUCGCCAAGUAUAAAACGCUGUAGGUUGUUUGCUAAUUAUUUGUAUGAGCGUGCAAGAGAGAUGGAGAGCUCGAACGCAAAAAUAUGAUAAUAAAAGUAAAAAUAAAAUACAAAUCCAAUUCAAAACCAAAAUCGAAAAACCAAAACCAGUUAGGUGAGCCAAAGGCUUCUCUCGAAUUUUGCUUUAAUUUUUGUCGUGCGUUGUGUGUGUUUUUUUUUGGAAUUUUUUUGUUUAUUUUUUACUUUUUAGCUGUACCCAUAUUUUUGCGUUCAAUAAACAAAUUGUCGUUUUAUGUGCCCCCCUCCACCUCCAACUCCACCACCAGCACCUGUAACUUCAACUGAUUUUGGCCAAGCAAAUCUUUUCUUUCGGCCAGCUGGUUUUUUGUUGUUAUUUGUGGUUGGCCUUUCUGUUCGGGUCGAGUUGGCCCAGUUUUUUGCGUUGGUCCCGCAAUUAAUAUCAAUUAAUUAGUAGUUGCUUUGUCAGAACAGCCAGAGAAUUCGGUACAACGAUUAACGAACGCAAAUAAUUGGAGAUCAGCAGUCAGCAAUCGGCAGUCAGGAAUCAGCACAAAAAUUAGCCAGAAGUCAUGGCGUCGCAAAUGUGGCAUGUAAGCCCCAUUCGGCGGAUCAGAAAAGUGUUUAACAAAACAAAACAAUAAUUAUAUUGAUAAAUGGGCACUUAGCCAGCGCCAUCGAUGCAGCAACGAAUUAUUAUAGGUUUAUUUAAGUCAGUCAGUCAGUCAACCCAACGCGAAGUGAAGUGAAACCGGAUAAGGCGAAGAUAGCACUAAACUGGGAACAGUCGCAUCAAGCAUCAAGUAUAAUUUAUGAAGUAUUUAUUUAUUGAAAAGCAACUGCUUUCCAUUGCGAUUGCCAAACGGGCUAAGAGUUCAGCUGUUUAGCUGGAGUUUCCAGUGCAUAAAUAAUGUGAUGUGGGACCCCAAGCAUGUGAUGUAGCUAUUUUCAGAAGCCUCCACUUCAAUUGAUGGGGUCUAUAGUCAAGUGCAAAUAGAGAUUAACAAGCCAUAAAUGGAUAUGCAUAUAUCUAUA